UGUAAGCGUAUACCAAAGUUGUUGCAGUUAAAACGCUCGUAGUCGGAAUUUGGCAGUUCCGGAAGUGUGCACGUCGUGUGCGCACUUUGCGGGGACUGCUUUUGUGGUCUUGCGUAGGAUGAGGCACUUUCAUUAGUGAACGUCCUCACGCAACCACUCUUUACUGUGAGAAAAUCAGAGUGCUCAAAACAGGCAUUUGCCGUGAAUGUAUUAGCAUGGAAUAAUAGAAUAGGACUCGGUUCUAUUUUGUUGGUUUGUUGGGACUGAGUAAUGAUUAAGAGGGACAGUUGGGGGCAUUUGUAUUCCGGCGCUAGAGGUGAAAUUCUUAGAUUGCCGGAAGACAAACUGCUGCGAAAGCGUCUGCCAAGGAUGUUUUCAUUGA
rnacentral:rRNA from 1 species